rnacentral:lncRNA from 1 species
UAGAACCCAUGGAGUAAUAGCUUCACAUUUAUUUAGAGGAAAUAUUUUCAAAUCUAGUAUUGUAUAACAACUAAGCUACAAAUCAAAUGUGAGGGUAGAAUAAAGACAUUUUCAAACAUACAAGGUAUUUAGAGCUUGAUUUCCCUUAUAUUCCUUCUCAGGAAGAUACUGCUGGUUUAAAUAAAACCAGGCAAGUUGAAGACAUAGAAUGCAGACAAGAGAGGACUCAAAAAGAGACGAAUUCAUUAGAUGAUAGUAAAGGGAGGUCCCAGGAUAACAACUAUGCUUCAAGUAUGCAGUCUCAAAAAUGGAGGACCGAGGGCUCCAGAAGACAGACCUCCAGGGGAAAAAAUUGGGUAGAUAUAUGUGAAUAUAUAAAAAAUAUUACUGGCCAGGUAUCGUGGUUCAUGAUUGUAAUCCCAGCACUUUGGGAGGCCAAGAUGGGAAGAUCGUUUGCACCCAGGAGUUUGAGAUCGACCUAGGCAAUAUAACGAGACCCCCAUCUCUACAAAAAAAAAAAAAAAAAAAAAAACUUAAAAAUUAGCUGGGUGUGGUGGCAUGCACCUGUAGUCCCAGAUACUUAGGAGGCUAAGGUGGGAGGACUACUGGAGCCCAGGAGAUGGAGGCUACUGCAAGCCAUCAUCAUGCCACUGCACUCCAGCCUGGGUGACAGAGUGAGACCCUGUCUCAAAAAAUUUGCAAAAAAUAUUAUUGAUAGGCAAGUGACAGAGAUAUAGAGCACUCAAGGAAAAUUGUAAUGACACAGCAAAUUAGACUGAUUAAAAAAUUAAGCAGGUUUUAACUCCAGGAAAAACAAAGGGUGGACAAGAACAUGGUUUAUUCAUUGUUUGCUCAGAAGCAAAUAAUAUUCGUGUAGUCAAAAUCAUGUAAAUGCUAACUUUUGAGUUGCUUGAUUUAACUAAAAACUGUGAUAUAACUGAGUUAGGGAAAUGGGGAGUGGGGAAAUGGUAAAAAGGCAGUGGAGAGAGCUCAGUCCUCAUUUACCAAAAUGGGAAGUCAAUAGUUAAUAUCUAAAACUGAAAUUUAAAAAAUAGCAAGAUGGGCCAGGCGCGGUGGCUCACACCUGUAAUCCCAGCACUUUGGGAGGCUGAGGCUGGUGGAUCACGAGGUCAGGAGAUUAAGACCGUCCUGGCUAACACAGUGAAACCCCGUCUCUACUAAAAGUACAAAAAAUUAGCCGGGCGUGGUGGCGGGCACCUGUAGUCCCAGCUACUCUGGAGGCUGAGACAGGAGAAUGGCAUAAACCCAGGAGGUGAAGCUUGCAGUGAGCCCAGAUCACGCCACUGCACUCCAGCCUGGGCAACAGUGCAAGACUCCAUCUCAAAAACAA